rnacentral:rRNA from 1 species
AGUUUGAUCCUGGCUCAGGAUGAACGCUGGCGGUAUGCUUAACACAUGCAAGUCGAACGAUGUGGGGACGUAGCAAUGCUACGUCUGUGCAUAGUGGCGGACGGGUGAGUAACGCGUGAGAAUCUAGCUUCAGGUUCGGGACAACAUUGGGAAACCGAUGCUAAUACCGGAUGUGCCGAGAGAUGAAAGGCUAGCCGCCUGAAGAAGAGCUCGCGUCUGAUUAGCUAGUUGGUGGUGUAAGGGACUACCAAGGCGACGAUCAGUAGCUGGUCUGAGAGGAUGAUCAGCCACACUGGAACUGAGACACGGUCCAGACUCCUACGGGAGGCAGCAGUGGGGAAUUUUCCGCAAUGGGCGAAAGCUGGACGGAGCAAUACCGCGUGAGGGAGGAAGGCUCUUGGGUUGUAAACCUCUUUUCUCAAGGAAGAAGUUCUGACGUUACUUGAGGAAUCAGCAUCGGCUAACUCCCUGCCAGCAGCCGCGGUAAUACGCAGGGAUGCAAGCGUUAUCCGGGAUGAUUGGGCGUAAAUYGRNSSAMA